rnacentral:rRNA from 1 species
GAUGAACGCUGGCGGCGUGCCUAACACAUGCAAGUCGAGCGGAGUUUAUUAAGGAAGUCUUAGGACGGAAAGAAUAAACUUAGCGGCGGACGGGUGAGUAACACGUGGGUAACCUACCCAUCAGCGGGGGAUAACACUUGGAAACAGGUGCUAAUACCGCAUAAUUCUUUUCUUCGCCUGAAGGGAAGAUGAAAGACGCUUUUGCGUCACUGAUGGAUGGACCCGCGCUGCAUUAGCUAGUUGGUGGGUAACGCUCACCAAGGCCACGAUGCAUAGCCGACCUGAGAGGGUAUCGGCCACAUUGGGACUGAGACACGGCCCAAAC